AUCUUAAGAGUAUGAAGUAUAUUUAAUUUCCAGUUAAAAGGUCCCGGCAAAGGGUUAAGAUA
rnacentral:tRNA from 1 species